rnacentral:sRNA from 2 species
UUUAUGUACCCACCGGGGGGGAUGAGAACCCCCGACCGGGGUUCGACAACUGGCAACGCCAGUUGGACAGACCGCGAGCCUGCGAGCGGGCUGCCCCGCAGGGGCGAGCGAAGCGAGUCAAUCCCCCCCUCACCGCCA